rnacentral:rRNA from 1 species
GACGAACGCUGGCGGCGUGCUUAACACAUGCAAGUCGCACGGCAAGGCCCUGCUUUCGUGCGGUGCUCGAGUGGCGACCGGGCGAGUAACACGAGAGUAUCCUGCCCUUGCCCUUGGGCUCACUUCAGGAAACUGGGGCUAAUACCGGUUAGGAGCUCCUGCUGCAUGGUGGGGGCUGGAAAGUCUCGGCGGUUGGGGAUGGACUCGCGGCUUAUCAGCUUGUUGGUGGGGUAGUGGAUUACCAAGGCUUUGACGGGUAACCGGCCUGAGAGGGUGACUGGGAACAUUGCGACAGAGAUACGGCCCGGAGUCGUACGGGAUACAGGAGUGGGGAAGAUAGCACGAUGGGGGGAAGUCGGAUGCAGCAACGCCGCGUGCGGGAUUGCGGCCUUCUGUCUGGAGGCCGCUUUGGCCUGUGACGGAGCGUUAGUGACGGUAAUGGAUAAAGAAGCACCGGCUAAUUACGUG